AGUGAACGCUGGCGGUAGGCCUAACACAUGCAAGUCGAACGGCAGCACAGUAAGAGCUUGCUCUUACGGGUGGCGAGUGGCGGACGGGUGAGAAAUACAUCGGAAUCUACUUUUUCGUGGGGGCUAACGUAGGGAAACUUACGCUAAUACCGCAUACGACCUACGGGUGAAAGCAGGGGAUCUUCGGACCUUGCGCGAUUGAAUGAGCCGAUGUCGGAUUAGCUAGUUGGCGGGGUAAAGGCCCACCAAGGCGACGAUCCGUAGCUGGUCUGAGAGGAUGAUCAGCCACACUGGAACUGAGACACGGUCCAGACUCCUACGGGAGGCAGCAGUGGGGAAUAUUGGACAAUGGGCGAAAGCCUGAUCCAGCCAUACCGCGUGUGUGAAGAAGGCCUUCGGGUUGUAAAGCCCUUUUGGUGGGAAGGAAGAGCAGUAGGUUAAUACCUCGCUGUUCUGACGGUACCCACAGAAUAAGCACCGGCUAACUUCGUG
rnacentral:rRNA from 1 species